rnacentral:rRNA from 1 species
CAGUAGCCGCGGGAAUACGUAGGUGGCAAGCGUUGUCCGGAAUUAUUGGGCGUAAAGCGCGCGCAGGCGGAUCAGUUAGUCUGUCUUAAAAGUUCGGGGCUUAACCCCGUGAGGGGAUGGAAACUGCUGAUCUAAAGUAUCGGAGAGGAAAGUGGAAUUCCUAGUGUAGCGGUGAAAUGCGUAGAUAUUAGGAAGAACACCAGUGGCGAAGGCGACUUUCUGGACGAAAACUGACGCUGAGGCGCGAAAGCCAGGGGAGCGAACGGGAUUAGAUACCCCUGUAGUCCCUGUCUCUUAUACA